rnacentral:rRNA from 1 species
UGGGGGAUAUUGCACAAUGGGCGAAAGCCUGAUGCAGCGACGCCGCGUUGGGGAUGAAGGCUUUCGGGUUGUAAACCUCUUUCGCUAUCGAACAAGGCCCGCUUAGGGUGGGUUGAGGGUAGGUGGAGAAGAAGCGCCGGCUAACUACGUGCCAGCAGCCGCGGUAAUACGUAGGGCGCGAGCGUUGUCCGGAAUUAUUGGGCGUAAAGGGCUUGUAGGCGGCUUGUUGCGCCUGCUGUGAAAACGCGGGGCUUAACUUCGCGCGUGCAGUGGGUACGGGCAGGCUUGAGUGUGGUAGGGGUGACUGGAAUUCCAGGUGUAGCGGUGGAAUGCGCAGAUAUCUGGAGGAACACCGAUGGCGAAGGCAGGUCACUGGGCCAUUACUGACGCUGAGGAGCGAAAGCAUGGGUAGCGAACAGG